rnacentral:rRNA from 1 species
UAGGGAAUCUUCCGCAAUGGACGCAAGGCUGACGGAGAAACGCCGCGUGAGUGAAGAAGGAUUUCGGUUCGUAAAACUCUGUGGUUAGAGAAGAACAGCGCAGAGAGUAACUGUUAUGCGUGUGACGGUAUCUAACCAGAAAGACACGGCUAACUACGUGCCAGCAGCCGCGGUAAUACGUAGGUGGCAAGCGUUGUCCGGAUUUAUUGGGCGUAAAGCGAGCGCAGGCGGUCAAUUAAGUCUGAUGUGAAAGCCCCCGGCUCAACCGGGGAGGGUCAUUGGAAACUGGUUGACUUGAGUGCAGAAGAGGAGAGUGGAAUUCCAUGUGUAGCGGUGAAAUGCGUAGAUAUAUGGAGGAACACCAGUGGCGAAGGCGACUCUCUGGUCUGUACCUGACGCUGAGGCUCGAAAGCUUGGGUAGCAAACAGG